AACUUUCAGCAACGGAUCUCUUGGCUCUCGCAUCGAUGAAGAACGCAGCGAAAUGCGAUAAGUAAUG
rnacentral:rRNA from 1 species